rnacentral:misc_RNA from 1 species
AAGUCGUAACAAGGUAACCGUAGGUGAACCUGCGGUUGGAUCAUUAUUGAUUUCUGGUCAUUGGGUUUCAAAGUCCGCUUCGGCGUCGACUUCCCUUUGGCUAACCACCCCUUGUGCAAACAUUAUUGUAUUUUGGGUUUGUUAUUAUGUAAUCGAACUUGUCGAGCUGUUGAGUGUAUGUUUACAAUUUCUGUUUACACACUCUUGACUGUCGCCAGUAGUAGAUUAUUGAACCCAAACCCAGCAAACAUUCAAACCAUUUUAAAUUUGUCUGAAACCUAGAUUAAAAUCUAAAGUACAACUUUUGACAACGGAUCUCUAGGCUCUC